rnacentral:rRNA from 1 species
GAUGAACGCUGGCGGCGUGCCUAAUACAUGCAAGUAGAACGCUGAAGGAGGAGCUUGCUCUUCUGGAUGAGUUGCGAACGGGUGAGUAACGCGUAGGUAACCUGCCUUGUAGCGGGGGAUAACUAUUGGAAACGAUAGCUAAUACCGCAUGACAACAGUUAUUGCAUGAUAACUGUUUAAAAGGGGCAACUGCUCCACUACCAGAUGGACCUGCGUUGUAUUAGCUAGUUGGUGAGGUAACGGCUCACCAAGGCGACGAUACAUAGCCGACCUGAGAGGGGGAGCGGCCACACUGGGACUGAGACACGGCCCAGAGUCCUACGGGAGGCAGCAGUAGGGAAUCUUCGGCAAUGGACGGAAGUCUGACCGAGCAACGCCGCGUGAGUGAAGAAGGUUUUCGGAUCGUAAAGCUCUGUUGUAAGAGAAGAACGAGUGUGAGAGUGGAAAGUUCACACUGUGACGGUAUCUUACCAGAAAGGGACGGCUAACUACGUG